CUCAGCUCAAGGAUGACUUCUGUUACAAAGCCUGGACAACAGGCUCCCCAGCAACCAGGUGACACAGACCACUCCCUCCUCUGAGAGAUCGGUAGAGCAC